CGCGUAGGCGGCCUUCUAAGUCGAACGUGAAAUCCCCGGGCUCAACCCGGGAACUGCGUCCGAGACUGAAAGGCUUGAAUCCGGGAGAGGGAUGUGGAAUUCCAGGUGUAGCGGUGAAAUGCGUAGAUAUCUGGAGGAACAUCGGUGGCGAAGGCGGCAUCCUGGACCGGUAUUGACGCUGAGGCGCGAAAGCCAGGGGAGCAAACGG
rnacentral:rRNA from 1 species